GUUUGACCUCGGAUCAGGUAGGAAUACCCGCUGAACUUAAGCAUAUCAA
rnacentral:rRNA from 4 species